rnacentral:lncRNA from 1 species
CCCGCGUGGACGCCCCUGGCCCGGGGAGGCCUCGACGACGAGCGCGGGCUUCGCAGCCGUCUCGGACCCAGCGCCCAACUCGGGGACCCACGCGGGCACGAGGAGGCCUCAUUGCUGGGCGGGGCCGCGGGAGCCAGUAGCAGACGGCCACGGGGACGGUCGGGGCCUCGAGGCUCCCCCUGACCCCGACCGGCGCCUCCCGAGGCGGGGGAAGCCUCCCUCGGGGUCCGGCCCUGACCGUAGGCCGAUCCCCGCUGCCUACCCGGGCCUCGGCGCCCAAGUCUGGCUCUUCACGCCCGUGGUAGCCGAGGCUGAGGGGCUCUUGGCUGGAGAAAGGACAGCUGCCCGGUACCCCCCGACUGAGCCAUCGCCCUUCGGACAGCAGGAGCAGCCCUAA